CACGUAGGGCGCGAGCGUUGUCCGGAAUUAUUGGGCGUAAAGAGCUCGUAGGCGGCCUGUUGCGUCCGCUGUGAAAGCCCCGGGGCUUAACCCCGGGUCGGCAGUGGAUACGGGCAGGCUAGAGGUAGGUAGGGGAGAAUGGAAUUCCCGGUGUAGCGGUGAAAUGCGCAGAUAUCGGGAGGAACACCGGUGGCGAAGGCGGUUCUCUGGGCCUUACCUGACGCUGAGGAGCGAAAGCGUGGGAGCGAACAGG
rnacentral:rRNA from 1 species